CUACGGGUCGCACCAGUCGAGAAUCUUCCGCAAUGGGCGCAAGCCUGACGGAGCAAUGCCGCGUGAGGGAUGACAGCCCUAGGGUUGUAAACCUCUGUCAGAAGGGACGAAGAACGUGACGGUACCUUCAGAGGAAGCCAUGGCUAACUACGUGCCAGCAGCCGCGGUAAUACGUAGAUGGCGAGCGUUAUUCGGAUUUACUGGGCGUAAAGGGUCCGUAGGGGGUCUGCCAAGUCUGAUGUGAAAUCCUGCGGCUCAACUGCGGAACUGCAUUGGAAACUGGCGGACUAGAGUGUGCGAGGGGUGAGCGGAAUUCCUGGUGUAGCGGUGGAAUGCGUAGAUAUCAGGAAGAACACCGAUGGCGAAGGCGGCUCACUGGCGCAUCACUGACCCUGAGGGACGAAAGCGUGGGUAGCAAACAGGAUUAGAUACCCCCGUAGUC
rnacentral:rRNA from 1 species